rnacentral:rRNA from 1 species
CAUGUAACGCUGGCGGCAGGCUUAACACAUGCAAGUCGUAGCGAGGGAAAGGCUAAGCUUGCUACUUAACCUAGCGGCGGACGGGUGAGUAAUGCUUAGGAAUCUGCCUAUUAGUGGGGGACAACAUCUCGAAAGGGAUGCUAAUACCGCAUACGUCCUACGGGAGAAAGCAGGGGACCUUCGGGCCUUGCGCUAAUAGAUGAGCCUAAGUCGGAUUAGCUAGUUGGUGGGGUAAAGGCCUACCAAGGCGACGAUCUGUAGCGGGUCUGAGAGGAUGAUCCGCCACACUGGGACUGAGACACGGCCCAGACUCCUACGGGAGGCAGCAGUGGGGAAUAUUGGACAAUGGGGGGAACCCUGAUCCAGCCAUGCCGCGUGUGUGAAGAAGGCCUUUUGGUUGUAAAGCACUUUAAGCGAGGAGGAGGCUACCGAGAUUAAUACUCUUGGAUAGUGGACGUUACUCGCAGAAUAAGCACCGGCUAACUCUGUGCCAGCAGCCGCGGUAAUACAGAGGGUGCAAGCGUUAAUCGGAUUUACUGGGCGUAAAGCGCGCGUAGGUGGCCAAUUAAGUCAAAUGUGAAAUCCCCGAGCUUAACUUGGGAAUUGCAUUCGAUACUGGUUGGCUAGAGUAUGGGAAGAGGAUGGUAGAAUUCCAGGUGUAGCGGUGAAAUGCGUAGAGAUCUGGAGGAAUACCGGAUGGCGAAGGCAGGCCAUCUGGCCUAAUACUUGACGCUGGAGGUGCGAAAGCAUUGGGGAGGCAAACAGGAAUAGAUACCCUGGUUAGUCCAUGCCGGAAACGAUGUUCUACCUAGCCGGUUGGGCCCUUUGAGGCUUUAGUGGCCGCAACCUAACGCGAUAAGUUAGACCCGCUGGGGAGUCCG